AGACUGGUCUCCAACUCCUGGCCUCAAGCUAUCAGCUGGGCUCUGCCUCCCAAAGCACUGGGAUUACACGUAUGAGCCGCCAUGCCAGCUUCCUACCUCUUCAUCUCUUAGCCCACAAACUCUCCACACUCCCUUCAAAAUGUGCCUUUCUUCUGUCACCUUCCACCAUCUCCUCUAUGCUAAAAGACAACAGACCUCCUGCCAAGUCAAAGUGCUCAUCAGCCCAGCACCAGGCCGAGCUCACCCUCCUCUGCUAUUACUGCCUGUUUAUUCAUGCAAUGACUACCAGUAACCAGCUACGUGCCAGCUACCUCUCAGAGCUGGGGAUGGAGCAGUGAUGACAUCAGGUGAAGAUGAAGAAAAAUAAAACAAGGUGAAAAAGAAUAAGCAGGAGUAGAGUGAGAAGAUAUUUAGAAACCAUGGUUAGCAAUGUCCUUCUAAAUGUGCCUGGUGUGUAAUAAUACUUCAGAAGAUAAUGAUUUCUUUCCCCGUCACAUUCUUUAGUCCCAAAACACAAGGGCAUUUUAAUUUAUGAAAUCUCCUGUGGGGAACUAGGAGCUCCCUGACCUUCAGGAGUUGUGAUUAUAUUCCCAAGAUAUAGCUGAAAAAUUGGCACUUAGUAGAUAUUUAAUAAGUAUUUGUUAAAUAAAUGAAUAGAUGAAUACAAGUCUUCGAAAACAGAAUAGUCUGCACCUAGGCUAGUUUACGAAAAGACUGAGAUGCUUGAGGACAUUCUAUGUCCUUUUAAACUUCAUACUUUCAGUGUCUAUCAUGUUGCUUACCACAUAGCGGUCUCCAAAUAAGUGUUUAUAAAACUCAACUGAAUGAAUUCCUGCCUGAGAAAGUAUGUUGCCAUAGCUAAUAUUGCUCCAGCAUUAUGGUACUUGAAGAUUCUUGCAUUAUUUAAAUGUGGUUUUUUCUAUUAGUAUUUUAUUUGUCUUCACAUCACUGAGAGGGAGUAUCCAUAGAGCUAGAGAAAGCCAUCACUGAGAAACAACCAAUCGUUAAUAAUUCACUAAGAAAUAUUAAACAAGGGAAAUAAGUUUAUUUCCCUGGAGGGAAUCAAAUGUCAUAAAUAUACACAGGAUUUUCUAUUUCGAGCUUCUCCAGUAUUGCAGAACUACAGGUCAACAGAAUAAGCUCAAGUCAUGAGAGAAAGAACAAUUUGCUGUUCUCUAUUCCUGAUGGGAUUAAAAUAUCACUAUUUGGCAGUAGUCUACAUAAAUAAAUUAC
rnacentral:lncRNA from 1 species